rnacentral:miRNA from 1 species
GGUAUUAAGUUGGUGCAAAAGUAAUUGUGUUUUUAACCAUUAAAAGUAAUGAGAAAAUUGGCAAUUACUUUUGCACCAACCCU